rnacentral:rRNA from 1 species
AGAAUCAACGCUGGCGGCGUGCCUAACACAUGCAAGUCGCACGAGAAAGGGGAGCAAUCCCUGAGUACAGUGGCGCACGGGUGAGUAACACGUGAAUCAUCUACCUCCGAGUGGGGGAAUAACUGAGAGAAAUCUUAGCUAAUACCGCAUAAUACCCACGGGUCAAAGCAGCAAUGCGCUUGGAGAGGAGUUCGCGGCAGAUUAGUUAGUUGGCGGGGUAAUGGCCCACCAAGACGAUGAUCUGUAUCCGGCCUGAGAGGGCGCACGGACACACUGGAACUGAAACACGGUCCAGACUCCUACGGAGGCAGCAGUGGGGAAUUUUGCGCAAUGGGGGAAACCCUGACGCAGCAACGCCGCGUGGAGGAUGAAGCCCCUUGGGUGUAAACUCCUUUCGAUCGGGAAGAUAAUGACGGUACCGAUAUAAGAAGCCCGGCUAACUCGUGCCAGCAGCCGC